UAACAUAAUAGUUGGCAACACUUAACUAGUCUGGACCACUUCUACGGAGGUCAUGAUAUCAAUGUAUAAUUCAAAAAUAAAAAUAAAAAAUAGCUUUGAAAUAAUCUUAUAACUAACAUGGUAAAAACUGAUCGGUCUAAAUUGUAUCAUUUCUUAGGGUCGAUCAAUCUUUGGAAUAUUGCAAAUGUUCAUCUUGCGAGUCCUGAUGCUAUUAUCCCUUGAAAUGGAAAAUCAUUGACUAUAUAGAUCAACUCGCCUUUGACUAUUGUAAGAAUAUAUUAGCUUCUUAUACAACUAUCUUUACCACUCUUUUGUUGAUAUUUUACAACAAGAGUAAGGUAAGUUAACCGAAGAUUUUUAUUCUAAAUUGGGUAAUCAAAGGCCUUCUCCCUCCAUUUACUUUUUCAUUAAUUUAUUUAAAAAAACUGUUGACAAAAUAGUGAAAAGACAAAAGAAAAUUACACUGAAGAAGAAGCUCUCUCCAGAUCUCUUCCAUGGCGACCUUGAUUCAUUGUCAGUGAUCACCUCUCUCAGUUUCUAUAUCUCAAGCGAUGCCGAAUCAUAGCUCUAGAAGCUCGGAGAAGUCGUCUCUGUUCCGGAGAUCCAAAACGUUGCCGACGGGAUCAUACCGAAGAUUUACAACUCCUCUGGUUCCAACUUACAGAUACGACUCCGCCUCUGAUCUUCGACGGGACGGUGACGGUGGCAGCUGCGACAGUGACACCACUAACUCCGCGGUGGCGGUGCUGAACUCUGAAUCGGCGCCGAGUCAAGUUUUGGCGACUCAAUCACCGAGUCAAAGGAUAACUAAGCUGUGGACUCAUUUUUCUCUUACUCAUUGUCUCAAAUUCAUUUGUUCAUUUUCUUUUCUUUAUGUGAUGUUUCUUCGAGCUAAAGUUGCAAAACUAGAGGCAGAGAACUCCAUCCUUUUAACAAGAUGUAGCAGAAGCAGUAGCAACAACGAGAAUCCACAGAUGGAAGAUGUUAAUAAUAGAGCUGUUGUUUUAUACAGUGUGAUUAUGACUAUAGCCUUACCCAUUUUGUUGUACAUGUAUCUAGACGAUCUCUCAUACGUCAAGAAUCUACUGAAACGAACAAACAAGAAGAAGAAAGAAGAAGAGGUUCCCUUGAAGAAAAGAAUAGCUUAUUCAUUGGAUGUGUGUUUUUCAGUAUAUCCAUAUGCUAAGCUACUCGCCCUUCUCUUCGCAACGGUAGUUCUUAUAGUAUACGGUGGCUUAGCGUUGUAUGCAGUCAGCGAUUGUGGGGUGGAUGAAGCCCUUUGGCUUUCGUGGACUUUUGUGGCGGAUUCAGGGAACCACGCUGAUAGGAUAGGCGUCGGACCGAGGAUAGUUUCCGUGGCUAUAAGCGCAGGAGGCAUGUUGAUAUUCGCUACAAUGCUUGGACUCAUUUCAGAUGCUAUCUCGAAGAUGGUGGAUUCUCUGAGGAAAGGGAAAAGUGAAGUCCUUGAAAGCAAUCAUAUACUAAUACUUGGAUGGAGUGACAAAUUGGGUUCCCUUUUGAAGCAGCUGGCAAUAGCAAAUAAAAGCAUUGGUGGAGGUGUUGUAGUGGUGCUAGCGGAAAGAGACAAGGAAGAGAUGGAGAAUGAUAUUGCCAAAUUCGAAUUUGAUUUGAUGGGAACAUCAGUUAUAUGUAGAAGUGGUAGUGCACUUAUACUCGCUGAUUUAAAGAAGGUUUCAGUUUCAAAUGCGCGUGCUAUCAUUGUACUUGGAUCUGAUGAAAACGCUGAUCAGAGCGAUGCACGUGCGUUAAGGGUGGUUCUCAGUCUAACGGGAGUGAAGGAGGGUUUGAAAGGGCAUGUUGUGGUUGAAAUGUGUGAUCUUGACAACGAGCCAUUGGUAAAGCUUGUUGGUGGGGAGCGCAUUGAAACAGUUGUAGCUCAUGAUGUGAUUGGACGCUUAAUGAUACAAUGCGCUCUUCAACCUGGCCUUGCGCAGAUAUGGGAGGAUAUAUUGGGCUUUGAGAAUGCUGAAUUUUACAUAAAGAAGUGGCCUCAGCUUGAUGGUCGCCGUUUUGAAGAUGUCCUCCUUUCAUUUCCAAAUGCUAUUCCCUGCGGAGUGAAGAUUGCAGUGGAUGGGAAAAUAGUUUUGAAUCCGAGUGACAACUAUGUUCUGGAAGAAGGAGAUGAAAUACUUGUUAUAGCCGAGGAUGAUGACACUUAUGCUCCUGGUUCACUUCCUGAGGUGCGGAUGUGUCAUUUUCCAAAAAUGCAGAAUCCCCCAAAAUAUCCAGAGAAAAUACUAUUUUGUGGUUGGCGCCGUGACAUUGAUGAUAUGAUCAAGGUGCUAGAAGCUCUGCUUGCGCCUGGAUCAGAGUUGUGGAUGUUUAAUGAGGUUCCAGAUCAGGAAAGAGAGAAAAAGCUGACAGAUGCAGGAUUGAAUAUAUCCAAAUUGGUGAAUAUAAGUCUUGUGCAUAGGCAGGGAAAUGCAGUCAUUAGGCGUCAUUUAGAGAGUUUACCUCUAGAAACUUUUGACUCGAACAGUCACUGGAAAACUCUAUUGUUCAUUCAGACUCCCGAUCUCUUGCCACGCUUCUCCUUAUUCGAGAUAUACAGUCUAAACGGCUUCCCUGCAAAGAUUCAAAAUCAAACGUGUUCCCAAGUAGCUGUUGGAUCCGUAAAAUGCAGCAAGCUUCAGAUAAAUCCAUUGUGAUAAGUGAAAUUCUGGACUCAAGAACAAAGAACCUUGUCUCUGUCUCCAGAAUAAGUGAUUACGUACUAUCCAACGAGCUAGUUAGUAUGGCUCUUGCUAUGGUCGCAGAAGAUAAACAAAUAAACCGUGUUUUGGAAGAGCUUUUCGCUGAGAAGGGUAACGAAUUGUGCAUAAGACCUGCAGAAUUCUACAUAUAUGACCAAGAAGAGGUUUGCUUCUAUGAUAUAAUGAGAAGGGCUCGUCAAAGACAAGAAAUCAUAAUCGGUUAUCGCCUUGCGGGUAUGGACCAAGCUGUUAUAAAUCCUUCAGAUAAAUCAAAGCUUAGAAAAUGGUCGCUUGAUGAUGUUUAUGUAGUCAUUGCUUCAUGUCAGUAACUAACAAAACCGUAGAUGACCUCUUCAUGUGUUAACACCUAAUCUCUGAGUAAUAGAGAUUUGCUUAUCAGAGCAACCAAAAAAAAACAAGAAUAUAAACCAUUUGCAUUUUA